GACGAACGCUGGCGGCGUGCUUAACACAUGCAAGUCGAACGGAAAGGCCUCUUUCGGGGGGUACUCGAGUGGCGAACGGGUGAGUAACACGUGAGUAACCUGCCCUUGACUUUGGGUUAACUUCAGGAAACUGGGGCUAAUACCGGCUAGGAGCUCCUGCUGCCUGGUGGGGGUUGGAAAGUUUCGGCGGCUGGGGAUGGAUUCGCGGGUUAUCAGCUUGUUGGUGGGGUAGUGGCUUACCAAGGCUUUGACGGGUAGCCGGCCUGAGAGGGUGACCGGCCGCAUUGGGACUGAGAUACGGCCCAGACUCCUACGGGAGGCAGCAGGGGGGAAGAUUGCACAAGGGGUGGAAGCCGGAUGCAGCAACGCCGUGGGCGGGAUGACGGCCUUCGGGUUGAAAACCGCUUUCGCUCAUGACGAAGCUUUGUGUGACGGUAGUGGGUAAAGAAGCACCGGCUAACUACGUG
rnacentral:rRNA from 1 species